rnacentral:lncRNA from 1 species
CGAAACUCCCUUUUAUUUCUUUUACUAAAGUAAGAAAAUUCAAAAAAAGAAGUCAGUGGUUGUUCUCGAAUUUUGUCCCCAGCCAUCAGCAUUAGGGUUUUAAACCCUAAACUGAAUUUUCCUUUUAGUCAGCAUUAGGGUUUUAAACUCUAAACUGAUUUUUCCUUUCAGCCAGCAUUAGGGAUUUAAACCCUAAACUGAGCUUUUCCAUGCAAUCAGCAUUAGGGUUUUAAACCCUAAACUGAAUUUUUCCUUUAGUCAGCAUUAGGGUUUUAAACCCUAAACUGAACUUUUUCCCAUUCAGCCAGCAUUAGGGUUUUAAACCAUAAACUGAGCUUUUCCAUGCAAUCAACAUUAGG